GACGGAAGGUGCAAGCGUUGCUCGGAAUCACUGGGCGUAAAGCGCACGUAGGCGGCUUUUUAAGUCAGGGGUGAAAUCCUGGAGCUCAACUCCAGAACUGCCUUUGAUACUGAGGAUCUUGAGUUCGGGAGAGGUGAGUGGAACUGCGAGUGUAGAGGUGAAAUUCGUAGAUAUUCGCAAGAACACCAGUGGCGAAGGCGGCUCACUGGCCCGAUACUGACGCUGAGGCACGAAAGCGUGGGGAGCAAACAGG
rnacentral:rRNA from 1 species